UACGUAGGGGGCAAGCGUUGUCCGGAUUUACUGGGCGUAAAGAGCGCGCAGGCGGCUGGUCAAGUCCGAUGUGAAAUCUCCCGGCUUAACUGGGAAACUGCAUCGGAAACUGAUCGGCUUGAAGGUGGGAGAGGGUAGUGGAAUUCCCGGUGUAGUGGUGAAAUGCGUAGAGAUCGGGAGGAACACCAGUGGCGAAGGCGACCUUCUGGACCAGUACUGACGCUCAUGCACGAAAGCGUGGGGAGCAAACAGG
rnacentral:rRNA from 1 species